GAGUUUGAUCGUGGCUCAGAUUGAACGCUGGCGGCAUGCCUUACACAUGCAAGUCGAACGGCAGCACGGGAGCUUGCUCCUGGUGGCGAGUGGCGAACGGGUGAGUAAUGCAUCGGAACGUAUCCUGGAGUGGGGGAUAACGUAGCGAAAGUUACGCUAAUACCGCAUAUUCUGUGAGCAGGAAAGCGGGGGACCUUCGGGCCUCGCGCUCUUGGAGCGGCCGAUGUCGGAUUAGCUAGUUGGUGAGGUAAAGGCUCACCAAGGCGACGAUCCGUAGCAGGUCUGAGAGGAUGAUCUGCCACACUGGAACUGAGACACGGUCCAGACUCCUACGGGAGGCAGCAGUGGGAAUUUUGGACAAUGGGGGCAACCCUGAUCCAGCCAUGCCGCGUGAGUGAAGAAGGCCUUCGGUGUAAGACGUCUUCGUCGA
rnacentral:rRNA from 1 species